rnacentral:rRNA from 1 species
ACGCUGGCGGCGUGCCUAAUACAUGCAAGUCGAGCGAAGUUUUUCUGGUGCUUGCACUAGAAAAACUUAGCGGCGAACGGGUGAGUAACACGUAAAGAACCUGCCUCAUAGACUGGGACAACUAUUGGAAACGAUAGCUAAUACCGGAUAACAGCAUUAACUGCAUGGUCGAUGUUUGAAAGUUGGUUUUGCUAACACUAUGAGAUGGCUUUGCGGUGCAUUAGCUAGUUGGUGGGGUAAAGGCCUACCAAGGCGACGAUGCAUAGCCGACCUGAGAGGGUGAUCGGCCACACUGGGACUGAGACACGGCCCAGACUCCUACGGGAGGCAGCAGUAGGGAAUCUUCCGCAAUGGGCGAAAGCCUGACGGAGCAACGCCGCGUGAGUGAAGAAGGAUUUCGGUUCGUAAAGCUCUGUUGUUAGGGAAGAAUGAUUGUGUAGUAACUAUACACAGUAGAGACGGUACCUAACCAGAAAGCCACGGCUAACUACGUGCCAGCAGCCGCGGUAAUACGUAGGUGGCAAGCGUUGUCCGGAAUUAUUGGGCGUAAAGCGCGCGCAGGUGGUUUAGUAAGUCUGAUGUGAAAGCCCACGGCUCAACCGUGGAGGGUCAUUGGAAACUGUUAAACUUGAGUGCAGGAGAGAAAAGUGGAAUUCCUAGUGUAGCGGUGAAAUGCGUAGAGAUUAGGAGGAACACCAGUGGCGAAGGCGGCUUUUUGGCCUGUAACUGACACUGAGGCGCGAAAGCGUGGGGAGCUAACAGGAUUAGAUACCCUGGUAGUCCACGCCGUAAACGAUGAGUGCUAAGAGUUGGUCUCAUAAGAGAUCAGUGCUGCAGCUAACGCAUUAAGCACUCCGCCUGGGGAGUACGACCGCAAGGUUGAAACUCAAAGGAAUUGACGGGGACCCGC